UACGUAGGGUGCGAGCGUUUUCCGGAAUUACUGGGCGUAAAGAGCUUGUAGGCGGUUUGUCGCGUCGUCUGUGAAAACUCACAGCUCAACUGUGAGCUUGCAGGCGAUACGGGCAGACUUGAGUACUGCAGGGGAGACUGGAAUUCCUGGUGUAGCGGUGAAAUGCGCAGAUAUCAGGAGGAACACCGGUGGAGAAGGCGGGUCUCUGGGCAGUAAAUGACGCUGAGAAGCGAAAGCGUGGGUAGCGAACAGG
rnacentral:rRNA from 1 species